GAUCUCCUACGGGAGGCAGCAGUGGGGAAUCUUGGACAAUGGGGCAACCCUGAUCCAGCCAUGCCGCGUGAGUGAUGAAGGCCCUAGGGUCGUAAAGCUCUUUCGCCUGUGAAGAUAAUGACUGUAGCAGGUAAAGAAACCCCGGCUAACUCCGUGCCAGCAGCCGCGGUAAUACGGAGGGGGUUAGCGUUGUUCGGAAUUACUGGGCGUAAAGCGCGCGUAGGCGGACUGGAAAGUUGGGGGUGAAAUCCCAGGGCUCAACCCUGGAACUGCCUCCAAAACUAUCAGUCUAGAGUUCGAGAGAGGUGAGUGGAAUUCCGAGUGUAGAGGUGAAAUUCGUAGAUAUUCGGAGGAACACCAGUGGCGAAAGCGACA
rnacentral:rRNA from 1 species